GUCAAAUGAGUUCACAUAAAUUGAAACGAAGGGAGUAAUUGAGAACAUAUUUAAGAAUUGCUAACUACAAGAUAUGAACAAUUCUAGCCGUCUGUUGUUUCUAACUAUCAGCUUUAGGAUGAAACCUCUUUCAGAGAAACAAUCCAUAUUCUGAUCACAAAAAAUUGAACAAAAGUAUGGUCCUCCUUAUUAUUCAUUUAACUCCAAGAAUCAAGAAUCCUAUGGAAUUUACUUCUCAAACUUCACAUCUCUCUCUUUUUUAUAUAUAUAUAUAUUUUACUGAUCUUUCCUUGGAUGAUUUGGAGUUCGAUGAUGUCUGCAGAUGGUUAAAUGAUAGUGGAAUUGAAGGAAAUGGAAAUAUAAACUUCUCUUCUAUGACACAUAAACUGAGAGAUGCAUACAAACAUCAUGCACAGGAAAUGCAAAAAUUAAAGCAUUUCUAUAUUCUUCUAAGCAACUUAAGUUCCAUGUUGAAAAUGAAGGGAUCAUCAAACCUUUAAACAUGACUCUGAAAUCUUCAUUUAUUUUCUGUUUCUUUGUUCUUAAAGAAACUUGCUACCUUCGACUCCCACCGGCCAAUGCCGACUUAUUAAUCAGAUUAUCCUAGUGUUGGGGUGAUUACAGCCAUUUGAUGUUAUCUCCUAUUGUUAAUGUGUAGAUAGGAAAAAAUUCAAGCAUAUAAAUACUCCAAAUUAAAUAGAAAUUUCACAAAAGGCGGAUGAGAUAUUUAGUUGUAGGAUGCAUUAGAAUCCAAUAAACACCAAUACCUUUUCUCAAGCUGCGACCAACUUUUGCUCUUGUAGACUUGGUUAACAUAGGCUCACUUAUUCAAUUGAAAGGCAACUGUAAAACGCCUCUGGAACCAGCUUAAAAUAGUGCAAAACAACAUCACACCAGCUCGUUCAUGGAGCUUUAAGAUAGAACUUACAUAGCAACUUAAAGCCGCAAAUUGCAGCUCAAAAGUAAAAGAACAACUUCGAGAAUGCAGCUAACCAUCUUGUUCGCCCUUUACAUGUCUUUAAGAAAACUGGUUAUUGAACUCCAAACGAACAUAUCUACAUCAUUCGAGACUUAACCAAUAAAUGACAUGUAUAUAAGUAUUUAACCUUCAGAUAUAUACCAACUUCGCACAUUCAUAUCCAACAAUUAGUUUCACCUAUUAAUUGCUAGAUAUUAGACCUAAUACUUUCUUAUCACAAUAUUAGAACAGGAAGAACGUUUUAACCUUUAACAAGAUAAUACAAUAGUAUUGCAGUAUCAACAAGCAAAUUGAAACUAGCACCAAAAGAAGACUUGAAAUCCAGGCACAUGGCACAUGAGUGCAAAGCUGUACAACUAGACAGGUUCUAUAGAAAUAUGCUGAUAACAACUCAUUUAAAAUUCACAUAGUUAUCUACGAAUAUGAUAUUAGAACCUUAAAAUUGCUCAAAAGAAAAAUUAGAGAUAAUAACACAAGUGAAUGAGAAUGGUAUGAAACGCAGCAAAAAGCCCUGUGGUAAAAUGCAACUGAGAUGCCUUGCUGUUUGAUAACUUUUUAUGCUUUAGGACAUUGAUAACCAUUUAUGCUUUAGGAUAUGGGUUCACUUCAAGAAACUAAUUUGCCAGAUUACUUUAUCUGGAUUAAGGGAGAGUGCAGUAAGAGGAUUGAAAAUUUUAUCAACAUUUUGUGCUAUGUGACCUCUUUUGUCUUUAAAAUGACAUGCUUUCUACAUUAUUUCCCAUUAAGCUAAAAUGCUCAUUAAACUAGCACUACAAAAGCACCGUGCGAUCCACUCUAUGAGAUUCAGUUCAAUAUUUUCAAAGUUACUAUCUCAACAUUUGAACUAUUUUCUAUUUAAGACGGCAAAAAAAUUCAACACUUACCUUAAUAAUCUUGUCAAAAACAGGAUGCUCAAAUUGAGAAACUCUUAUGAACCCUUAACGAGUUCAUUAAUCAGUUGAACAAACUCUUGUCUUGGUGAUGCUCUUACCAGUCUUAAAGCAGAGGGUUUUUGCUUUUCAAGGUCCUGAAGCAUAUUCUACCUGUAAUACAUGAAUGAGAUCAUAGAAUUUAAAAGGUUUUGAGAAUGUGGCAAGAACGAAAAUAAAAAAGCUAAACCAAGAACCCUAAAAUAAAAAUCCUGCAUUGCAUAAAGAAACCCCAAAUCUUCGAAACCCCCAAAAAUAAAGCACGCACACACGCUAACAAACCAAGAACCCUAAAAUUUCAGAAAACCUCACCAUCGAAGAGCAAGAUUUAGCUAAUUAAACUAACUAAAAAGGGGAGAAACAAGUAGAGAAAAGUUGUGGUGCGUUCUUAGACCUUGAUGUCUUCCAAGAGAGAUCUUAGUUCUGCGUUUUCGGUCUCUUCCUGCAGCAUCGUUGAAUAAAUUUCAUAUUGUAUCUUCACCGAGUUCUUCUAUGAGUUAUGGUGAGCGUCUCUCUUGUGACCUGUAUGAGUUGUAUGAGAAAUUGGAGAGUGGUCUUUGAAUUGGAGAAAUUAAAAAAGGGAAAACCUAGGGUAGGAAAAUUAGGAACCGUCACAAUAGAUAAUUUUUCCAGUCAACCGUCC
rnacentral:lncRNA from 1 species